AACGAACGCUGGCGGCAGGCCUAACACAUGCAAGUCGAACGCCCUAGCAAUAGGGAGUGGCAGACGGGUGAGUAACACGUGGGAACCUUCCCUAUAGUACGGAAUAGCUCAGGGAAACUUGAAGUAAUACCGUAUACGCCCGAGAGGGGAAAGAUUUAUCGCUAUAGGAUGGGCCCGCGUCGGAUUAGCUAGUUGGUGAGGUAAUGGCUCACCAAGGCGACGAUCCGUAGCUGGUUUGAGAGAACGACCAGCCACACUGGGACUGAGACACGGCCCAGACUCCUACGGGAGGCAGCAGUGGGGAAUAUUGGACAAUGGGCGCAAGCCUGAUCCAGCCAUGCCGCGUGAGUGAUGAAGGCCUUAGGGUUGUAAAGCUCUUUUAGCAGGGAAGAUAAUGACUGUACCUGCAGAAUAAGCUCCGGCUAACUUCGUGCCAGCAGCCGCGGUAACAC
rnacentral:rRNA from 1 species